rnacentral:snRNA from 1 species
GACCGACGCGGAUUACGGUGG